GGGAUCGGAGAGCGGAGCUGGCGUGAACCGGGUCCCGCGACCGCCUGCGAACGGUCCCCGGGCAGCGGGCGAAGUACCCGGAGCCUUCCCUAGAGUCGCCCCCCGGGAACGGGCACCCGGAGCCGCCCGCACCGGGAGCCCCAUCAGAGACGCCCCCCCCCCCGUGGGGUCGGUGGAGCCAGGGCCCGUUCCGGUGCUCUGCGGCAGGUUGAGAACCGAACCGGGGGAGAGGAGAAGCGGCUCCUUGCCCCGAGUUACCGAUCGCACUCGGGGCACCCACCGGCCGCUGCCCCGGGAGGCACCGAGGCGACGACGAGACAAAGGCGGCCCCUUGGGAGGCUCCGGUGAUGCCGGUGCCAGCUGAGGGGCGGGGAAGGCUCCGGCCGGCCUCGUCCCCCCGCUGUCCCUGAGCACCGGGACCGCGCCUGCCCUUCCCGGGCCUCCGCAGCCCCCUCUGGGUGUCCUGGGGGGAGCAGCGGGGCCGGGGCCGCCGGAGGGAGCCGGGGUGGGGCGGCGGGGGCCGGGAGGGCGCAGGAUGGAGGAUGCUGGGGCGGCCGGGGGGGGCCGGGGCGGCGGCGGAGCCCUCGCACCAUGACAUCAGCGCGGCGCGGCCCCGGGGGAGCGGGCGGGGGGCGGGAGCCGGCGCGGCGGCGGCGGCGGAACGGCAGCGGCGGAGCGGAGCGGCCCCGGGCAUGCUCCCGGAGCCCAAGUAUGACCGCUUCCGCGACGAGCCGCUGACCGCCCCUAUGCCGUCGCCGGUCCCCGGGCCGAGCCCCGCGGCGGGCGAGGAGCCCGAGCCCGGUACCACCUUCUGCGCGCUGCUGCCGCGGAUGCCGCAGUGGAAGUUCCCCGGUCCCGGCGGCUUUCUCGGUCGCAGCCCCUCCGCCGGUACCGGUGGCGGCCGGGACCUGUCAGCGCCGGCCCGGGCGGGCCCCCCCUCGGCGCUGGCCGCCGUGUUGGCCGCCUGCGAGCCGCUGUGCCCCGCCGCGCCGUGCGCGCUACCGGCGGGCGGGCGGGCACGGGGGGCGGCGGGGCGGGCGGCGGCGGCGGCGGCGGCGGGGACCCGGCCGGGCGCGGAGGAGUGGAGCCGCAAGGGCAGCUUCAUCCGCAAACCGGCGCAGGGCUGGCUGCACCCCGACGAGCGGGUGCUGGGGCCCGGCGUCUCCUACAUCGUCCGGUACAUGGGGUGCAUCGAGGUGCUGCGCUCCAUGAGGUCCCUCGACUUCAACACCCGCACGCAGGUCACCAGGGAAGCCAUCAAUAGAUUGUAUGAAGCAGUGCCCGGCGUGAAGGGCAUCUGGAAGAAGAAGGCUCCCAACAAAGCCCUUGUCUCCAUCCUGGGCAAGAGCAACCUGCGCUUUGCUGGCAUGAGCAUCGCUGUCAACAUCUCUGUUGAUGGGCUGAACCUCAUGAUCCCCACCACACGCCAGAUCAUCGCCAACCACCACAUGCAAUCCAUCUCCUUCGCCUCCGGUGGGGACACGGACACCACGGACUAUGUCGCCUACGUCGCCAAGGACCCCAUCAAUCAGAGAGCCUGCCACAUCCUGGAGUGCUGCGAGGGGCUGGCGCAGAGCGUCAUCAGCACGGUGGGGCAGGCCUUCGAGCUGCGCUUCAAGCAGUACCUGCACAGCCCCCCCAAGGUGGUGGUGCCCCCGGACAGGGCGCUGGGUGCCGAGGAUUCGGUCUGGGGGGAGGAUGAAGAUGCGGCCGAACACGAUUAUUACAACAGCAUCCCCGGCAAGGAGCCGCCCCCGGGCGGGCUGAUCGACUCCCGGCUCCGGCACGGCCCCAGCUUGGGCCACAUCCGCACUCAACCCUCCGGCUCCAUCCUCUCCAGCCAGGCCGGGUUUGCAGCCAGGAGAGACCAGAGCAGCCAGCCAGGGCCACCCUGGGAGCUGGAGAGCCAGGGCCAGCCCGGGGAUGGGUACCUGCAGGCUGAUGGCCACCCCUUGGGACCACGGGACUACGAGGAGCACAUGUACGUGAACACACAGAGCCUGGAUGCCUGGGAGCCAGAGGCAGCGGCGGCUCGGGGGGUGCCGGAGGAGAGCCCCAAGAAGGACCUCUUUGAUAUGAGGCCAUUUGAGGAUGCCCUGAAGCUCCACGAGUGCAUUGUGGGGGGCAGCAGCAGCCCCCCCAUCGAGGACCAGUGGCCGAGCCCCCCGACGCGGAAGGCUCCCAUUGCCCCCACUGAGGAGCAGCUCAGGCGGGAGCCGUGGUACCACGGGAAGAUGAGCCGGAGGGAUGCGGAGAGGCUCCUGCAGAUGGACGGGGACUUCCUGGUGCGGGACAGCCUCACCAACCCGGGGCAGUAUGUGCUGACUGGCAUGCACAGCGGGCAGCCCAAGCAUCUGCUGCUGGUGGAUCCCGAGGGAGUGGUGAGGACCAAGGACGUGCUGUUUGAGAGCAUCAGCCACCUCAUCAGCCACCACCGGCAGAACGAGCAGCCCAUCGUGGCCGCCGAGAGCGAGCUGCACCUCCGCCAGGUCGUGCAGAGGAAGCAGUGAGCCCGGGGGUACGUGAGCUCCCGACCCGCGGCCCUGGCACCGGACUCACCCCAGCCCUGGGGUAAAGGCAGGGCCCACCCCUCUGCUCCCCUCCUCUGGUUGUGCCCGGGCCCGCACCCUGGGGUCAGGGUCCCCGUUCCCCUCUCCGUGGUCCGCAUGGGGCAUUGUUCCCAGCUGGGAGCCGCUGCGGCACCGCCAGCCCCGGUGCCGGCUCCAUCCCGACACAAGGAAUUGGUCUCUGGAGUGUCAUGGGGCAAACGGGGCUGGGGAUGGUGCCAGGGGCCUCAUCCCAGGGUGGGAUGGGGUAUGUGAGGAGCACCCUUGCCCACCAAGCCGUGCCUCUCGCCCAGCGCUGCUGCUCAGGACCCAGCUCCCUGCCUUGGUUCCCCCUCUCCGCCAGGACAUUGGGGGGUGCCCCUAUCCCCCAUCAGUGCAGGCUGCAGCCCCUGCCCUGUCCCUGCUCAUGGGGCUGGGUAUCCCUCUUGGUCCCACAUUUCCAGCUGGAUUCUCCCCAGGAGCAGCUGCCAUGAGGGUUCCUGGUGGCUCCGAGCUCCCGCAUCCCUCCUCAGGCUGGGGCUGGGAUGAAGCUGCUGUGGGGAAGGUGCAGGGCUUUGGCUCUGGCUCUCCAAGGCUGGAGACGUGUCCCAAGGCCCCUGGGACAUCCCUGCUUCUCCUGGCGCUUGGGCAGGUUUUUAUGGCAUUCGCAGCCCUUGCCCAGCGUUGUCUGGGGCUCGCGCUUUGGAAUACGUUUCUAAUUAAACCUGGAAAUGAGGAA